CGGACGGGUGAGUAAUGUCUGGGAAACUGCCUGAUGGAGGGGGAUAACUACUGGAAACGGUGCUAAUACCGCAUAACGUCGCAAGACCAAAGAGGGGGACCUUCGGGCCUCUUGCCAUCGGAUGUGCCCAGAUGGGAUUAGCUAGUAGGUGGGGUAACGGCUCACCUAGGCGACGAUCCCUAGCUGGUCUGAGAGGAUGACCAGCCACACUGGAACUGAGACACGGUCCAG
rnacentral:rRNA from 1 species